CUUGGCAUGGUCUCACCAUCAAGAGAGGCAGUAAACACAGGAUGCAUAAAGCUGCUGGUGGUGGAACACAGAACAUUUUUUACAGUACACUUUAAAAAAGUACUGUUCUCUCAUCCAUGGGUAAUGUGUUGCACUGAUAUUAUAACAACUAGGAUAUCACUAGGCAACAGGAAUCUUUCAGCUCUGAUAUAAUCACAUGAGAACACUGUGUACAUGGAGUCAGCCAUUGACCUGUAAUAUCCUUUUGCAGUACAUGACUGUGUAAUUCUUAUUAACAAUAAAAUAAUGAAUGGGAAGAC
rnacentral:lncRNA from 1 species